UACGUAGGGUGCGAGCGUUACUCGGAAUCACUGGGCGUAAAGGGCGCGUAGGCGGCCGGGCAAGUCUGGUGUGAAAGCCCGGGGCUCAACCCCGGAAGUGCAUUGGAAACUGCUCUGCUUGAGUACCGGAGAGGAAGGGGGAAUUCCCGGUGUAGCGGUGAAAUGCGUAGAUAUUGGAAGGAAUACCGGUGGCGAAGGCGGCCACCUGGUCAGAAACUGACGCUGAGGUACGAAAGCGUGGGGAGCAAACAGG
rnacentral:rRNA from 1 species